UUGAACGCUGGCGGCAGGCCUAACACAUGCAAGUCGAACGGUAACAGGAAGAAGCUUGCUUCUUUGCUGACGAGUGGCGGACGGGUGAGUAAUGUCUGGGAAACUGCCUGAUGGAGGGGGAUAACUACUGGAAACGGUAGCUAAUACCGCAUAACGUCGCAAGACCAAAGAGGGGGACCUUCGGGCCUCUUGCCAUCGGAUGUGCCCAGAUGGGAUUAGCUAGUAGGUGGGGUAACGGCUCACCUAGGCGACGAUCCCUAGCUGGUCUGAGAGGAUGACCAGCCACACUGGAACUGAGACACGGUCCAGACUCCUACGGGAGGCAGCAGUGGGGAAUAUUGCACAAUGGGCGCAAGCCUGAUGCAGCCAUGCCGCGUGUAUGAAGAAGGCCUUCGGGUUGUAAAGUACUUUCAGCGGGGAGGAAGGGAGUAAAGUUAAUACCUUUGCUCAUUGACGUUACCCGCAGAAGAAGCACCGGCUAACUCCGUGCCAGCAGCCGCGGUAAUACGGAGGGUGCAAGCGUUAAUCGGAAUUACUGGGCGUAAAGCGCACGCAGGCGGUUUGUUAAGUCAGAUGUGAAAUCCCCGGGCUCAACCUGGGAACUGCAUCUGAUACUGGCAAGCUUGAGUCUCGUAGAGGGGGGUAGAAUUCCAGGUGUAGCGGUGAAAUGCGUAGAGAUCUGGAGGAAUACCGGUGGCGAAGGCGGCCCCCUGGACGAAGACUGACGCUCAGGUGCGAAAGCGUGGGGAGCAAACAGGAUUAGAUACCCUGGUAGUCCACGCCGUAAACGAUGUCGACUUGGAGGUUGUGCCCUUGAGGCGUGGCUUCCGGAGCUAACGCGUUAAGUCGACCGCCUGGGGAGUACGGCCACAAGGUUAAAACUCAAAUGAAUUGACGGGGGCCCGCACAAGCGGUGGAGCAUGUGGUUUAAUUCGAUGCAACGCGAAGAACCUUACCUGGUCUUGACAUCCACGGAAGUUUUCAGAGAUGAGAAUGUGCCUUCGGGAACCGUGAGACAGGUGCUGCAUGGCUGUCGUCAGCUCGUGUUGUGAAAUGUUGGGUUAAGUCCCGCAACGAGCGCAACCCUUAUCCUUUGUUGCCAGCGGUCCGGCCGGGAACUCAAAGGAGACUGCCAGUGAUAAACUGGAGGAAGGUGAGGAUGACGUCAAGUCAUCAUGGCCCUUACGACCAGGGCUACACACGUGCUACAAUGGCGCAUACAAAGAGAAGCGACCUCGCGAGAGCAAGCGGACCUCAUAAAGUGCGUCGUAGUCCGGAUUGGAGUCUGCAACUCGACUCCAUGAAGUCGGAAUCGCUAGUAAUCGUGGAUCAGAAUGCCACGGUGAAUACGUUCCCGGGCCUUGUACACACCGCCCGUCACACCAUGGGAGUGGGUUGCAAAAGAAGUAGGUAGCUUAACCUUCGGGAGGGCGCUUACCACUUUGUGAUUCAUGACUGGGGUG
rnacentral:rRNA from 1 species